rnacentral:rRNA from 1 species
UUCGCCCUUAGAGUUUGAUCCUGGCUCAGGACGAACGCUGGCGGCGCGCUUAACACAUGCAAGUCGAACGAGCGAGAGAGAGCUUGCUUUCUCAAGCGAGUGGCGAACGGGUGAGUAACGCGUGAGGAACCUGCCUCAAAGAGGGGGACAACAGUUGGAAACGACUGCUAAUACCGCAUAAGCCCACGACCCGGCAUCGGGUAGAGGGAAAAGGAGCAAUCCGCUUUGAGAUGGCCUCGCGUCCGAUUAGCUAGUUGGUGAGGUAAUGGCCCACCAAGGCGACGAUCGGUAGCCGGACUGAGAGGUUGAACGGCCACAUUGGGACUGAGACACGGCCCAGACUCCUACGGGAGGCAGCAGUGGGGAAUAUUGCACAAUGGGGGAAACCCUGAUGCAGCGACGCCGCGUGGAGGAAGAAGGUCUUCGGAUUGUAAACUCCUGUUGUUGAGGAAGAUAAUGACGGUACUCAACAAGGAAGUGACGGCUAACUACGUGCCAGCAGCCGCGGUAAAACGUAGGUCACAAGCGUUGUCCGGAAUUACUGGGUGUAAAGGGAGCGCAGGCGGGAAGACAAGUUGGAAGUGAAAUCCAUGGGCUCAACCCAUGAACUGCUUUCAAAACUGUUUUUCUUGAGUAGUGCAGAGGUAGGCGGAAUUCCCGGUGUAGCGGUGGAAUGCGUAGAUAUCGGGAGGAACACCAGUGGCGAAGGCGGCCUACUGGGCACCAACUGACGCUGAGGCUCGAAAGUGUGGGUAGCAAACAGAGAUUAGAUACCCUGGUAGUCCACACUGUAAACGAUGAUUACUAGGUGUUGGGAGGAUUGACCCCUUCAGUGCCGCAGUUAACACAAUAAGUAAUCCACCUGGGGAGUACGACCGCAAGGUUGAAACUCAAAGGAAUUGACGGGGGCCCGCACAAGCAGUGGAGUAUGUGGUUUAAUUCGACGCAACGCGAAGAACCUUACCAAGUCUUGACAUCCUGCGACGCACAUAGAAAUAUGUGUUUCCUUCGGGACGCAGAGACAGGUGGUGCAUGGUUGUCGUCAGCUCGUGUCGUGAGAUGUUGGGUUAAGUCCCGCAACGAGCGCAACCCUUAUGGUCAGUUACUACGCAAGAGGACUCUGGCCAGACUGCCGUUGACAAAACGGAGGAAGGUGGGGAUGACGUCAAAUCAUCAUGCCCUUUAUGACUUGGGCUACACACGUACUACAAUGGCGUUAAACAAAGAGAAGCAAGACCGCGAGGUGGAGCAAAACUCAGAAACAACGUCCCAGUUCGGACUGCAGGCUGCAACUCGCCUGCACGAAGUCGGAAUUGCUAGUAAUCGCAGAUCAGCAUGCUGCGGUGAAUACGUUCCCGGGCCUUGCACACACCGCCCGUCA